UUGCAUCUUCGGCUCAGAGCAAGAUGUCAAGAUGAUGGCUGCUUCCUGGAUGGAACCCUUCACCUCAUAUUUUUCCGGCGUUAGCAUCUGGGAACAUUACCAAGAUUUUAUUGCAGUAACUUGUCAUCAAUACUUUAUGGCCACUUUAUUAGGUUCACUUCACAGCUUCUGAUGGCAAAGUGUUUGACCUUCAAAGCUGGAAAUGUUUGACAGAUGUGCACAUGUCGAUAUAUGCAAAAUGUUAAUCUGUCUACCAAAAACUAUGCUAGGAUUUGACAGCUGAAAUGCCUUCGAUAUCUUUAUUCCUGGUUCACACAGCAAGAUAAUUAUGUUUAUUUCUGACCCAAUCUUCCCCUUCUGACUAUCUAUCUUAAGGAAGCCCCGACUAUCGUGAUGGCACUAAAGAUGAUCAUCUUAGACAUUCCUGCUCUGUGUGGUGUAUUCAGAGUGCUCUAAUCUACUCGGAAGGACAUCAGGGCUGCUCAGACAUCAAAUCAUGAAUAUCAACAUGUUGGAUUGACUUGGUCCGAUAUCCCAGCAUUUGGGGUGUGUCCCAACCACAAACGAGCAUGCAGCCUGUUGAAUUUAACACGUAGCCAAUCAGAAAGUGAGGUGACAAAAGCACGGAGGGGAAUCAAAAACUGUUUACUCCAAAGUCAUGUUUAAUCUCAAGAGGUUUUGCGAGAUUUCCCAUCUGACCUGGGUAUGUUCAUGAGUGAAAUCUGUUCAUGUGUGGUGUGUUGUCUAUACACCACACACACACACACACUGUACUACCAAAACUAUUAUAUCUAUGAUUUUUUAAAUCGCCAUGUGUGGUGUCUCUCAGGUAUUGAAAACCUACCGACAAUUUUAAAAUCUUGCUGUGUGAACCAGGCAUUACUCUUCCUCACCUCUCCUCAGUCUUCCAUGUGCCCUUGCAAUCACUAAUGAAUUCUUUUUAGGUUUUCCACAGCUGCCAUUAAUUUCCAAGUAAGAAAAACAACUGCUGCUGUCUCAAAUAGAGCUCCACUUUGACUUGUUAACAAGAAAGGAGUUAGACGUAGUACUUUCAAUUAAACGUGGAUAAACGUGCAAUUCAGAUCAAAGCACCUAAGAAGACAGAUCCAGAUGUAAAGAUGGGUGAUUUUUAAUUCUGCCCAGGGGGUGCACCAUUUGUUUUGCCUGUGUUUUCUGAGGUUCUCCAACUUCUGUUGGCUAAAGUAAUGUAACCAUAGCUUGUAGUACGGUGUUGACCUUUUUUUUUUUCCUAUAAUCAAAUUAUAUUUGUGCUUUAAAUAAAUAUAUCCAGUCUGCAGUUGCACUUC